ensembl:lncRNA
UGCUGAUACAAUCUGGGAUGGGCUCAGGUUGAGCCAGGAGAGGUUCAGGAUUGCUUCAUUGAAGUUUAAAGAAAACCUCCCAGUAAUUUAUGUGGAGAGACGUUUCAUCCUUCAUUUCCAGGGAAGACAAUCUGCUUUAUAUGGUAAGUAUGUGCACAUGGGAAACAUGAAUUUGUUCUCUUCUCAGCCAAACACUUCUGUCCUUGUGCAAGAAUUCAGAAUACAGCAGGAAACGUGUAACAGAGUUGGUUUCACUUCUUACCAACCACUGCC